CAGCCGCCGCGGUAAUACGUAGGUGGCAAGCGUUGUCCGGAAUUAUUGGGCGUAAAGGGCUCGCAGGCGGUUUCUUAAGUCUGAUGUGAAAGCCCCCGGCUCAACCGGGGAGGGUCAUUGGAAACUGGGAAACUUGAGUGCAGAAGAGGAGAGUGGAAUUCCACGUGUAGCGGUGAAAUGCGUAGAGAUGUGGAGGAACACCAGUGGCGAAGGCGACUCUCUGGUCUGUAACUGACGCUGAGGAGCGAAAGCGUGGGGAGCGAACAGGAUUAGAUACCCGUGUAGUCCCUGUCUCUUUACA
rnacentral:rRNA from 1 species